rnacentral:rRNA from 1 species
GACGAACGCUGGCGGCGUGCUUAACACAUGCAAGUCGAACGGCAAGGCCCUUCGGGGUUCUCGUGUGGCGAACGGGUGAGUAACCCGUGGGUGAUCUGCUCUGCACUUUGGGUUAAGCCUGGGAAACUGGGUCUAAUAUCACAUAGGACCACGCGCUUCAUGGUGUGUGGUGGAAAGCUUUUGCGGUGUGGGAUGGGCCCGCGGCCUAUCAGCUUGUUGGUGGGGGAAUGGCCUACCAAGGCGACGACGGGUAGCCGGCCUUAGAGGGUGACCGGCCACACUGGGACUGAGAUACGGCCCAGACUCGUACGGGAGACAGCAGUGGGGAAUAUUGUACAAUGGGCGCAAGCCUGAGGCAGCGACGCCGCGGGUGGGAUGACGGCCUUCGGGUUGUAAACCGCUUUCAAUAGGGACGAAGCGGAAGUGACGGUACCUAUAGAAGAAGCACCGGCCAACUACGUG